UACUGCACGCUCGUAGUUCUAAACGCGCAUAAAGUAUUUGUACAUUGGAGAGUAAGAAUCUCUAACAUGCUCGGAAAAGGGGGUAGGGGACUCCAUAUUAGAAACCCCCUUUUAAAUAUGUAAAUUUUGGAAAAAUGUUUUCAGCGAGAAUAUAGUGCUUGUGUGUAGGGGGGGGGGGGUCAGUCUGUAAAAUUCAGUUUGGUUUCCUGUAUUGUGAUAUACACAAGGCUUGUUCUUUAGUUACUUGUCAAACCAAAGGAGGGUAUCUUAAAACCAUUGAUCUAUAAUUUUGUUUUUUUUAAAUUGGUAUACCUCUGUCAAUUAAAAGAACUCCCCAAUUGACAUUCAACAUCUUAAUUUCAAAACAGAGAUACUGAUAUAAGAAAAUAUCCAAUACAUAUUAUGUUAAUCCUUCAAAGUGUUAUAACAUUGUUCAUUUGAUUAUAAUAAUUCUGAAUUGUAAAUUAAAGACAGUUGGAAUCAGACCUUCAGUGCUGAUGCAUACCAAACUCACAUAAAAGUAUAUUUCAUGUAAAGUCUAUAUAAAAGUCUGAAAACUAAAGCGUGUUGGCUUGUUGGAGGUUUCAUGAGGCUGGUUCCAACAACAAGAGAAUAAGCUCAAGGUUGGCCCAGAAUUUGUCAUGUACGGGAAAGAGCGCCCCGUAAUAAACAUCUUAUUUCAAAAUUGUAAAAUACUUCAAACAUUGCUUCGGGUACCUGUCUCACUACAUGUAUUGUUUUGAUAUUGUUUGUUACUUUCUACAAUAAAUUUUUACUUAUUGAUUUAUUUAACGAACGUUUUCAGUUGAAGCAAUUCGCGACAAUUUCAGAACUGUAAUAUAUUUUCAAUAUUGCCUCGGGCACCUGCUCAUGGCAUGCAUCAAACUCAUGUGUGUAUAUCUUGUAUAUAAUCUGUGAUAGUUCCAGUGUUUUUCUGAUCGUUAGCAAAUAUAAUUGUCUUUUAUCUACCUACUCAUAUAUAGCAAGAUAUCAGUGCGUAGAACGUAAAUCGCCACGACUUCUCCUGUUAUAAAUAUAGAUCUUUCUUUCAAGAUUUGAAAAAAAAACAGUGUCUAAGAUUUAUCGCAAGUUGGCCUGGCGAAAAUUUCGACUUUAAACUUUUGUAAUUGUAAUUUGUAAGAAAUUGUAGUGUAAAUCGGGACAAUGUGACAGGACCUAAGAAUGGUUUUCGUAAAGGCAACAAUUUAUUCAAAGCAUCGUAGGAGUCUUUGCAAAAAUACACGUUUAUAAUUCUUUAUAUGCGUGAUUUGUACCAAUUUUAAAAAUAAUAAUCAGCGACCAAUGAAGAAAGACACAGAUUUAGAAUGUUAUAAUGUAUAUACAUCUUAAAGAAGUUAUACAUUGUAUUGCCUUUAAGAUUUCGAUUAAUGUGAUUAUACCUGACAUGCGGUAAACGGCGCAUCUUAAUUAUGCGCUUACAAGUUUAAAAACUGUCAUGAUUUUUUAAUUUCUUUCAAGUCACAAAGUUCUAAUAGGUCAAAACCCAUGGUCAGUCAUGGUGUGUAACAGUAAAUUUCAGUUUCAUUCAGAACUUUGUACCCUGUUCAUGCUUCUUUUUAUAGGUAGGUCUCUUUUGAAUAUAAUUUAAGAUGAAACACCUUUGACGAAUACAAAUGCAUCCAUUCCAAAUAUAUAAUAUCCACAUGUACACAAUGGCAUGCAGUUAAACACCCAACAGUAUACAGUUCAUUGGGGUUUUCACAACUUGGUUGCAAAACAUGUAACAUCGCAGCCAUGUUUGGUAUUAGAUACCAGAUUUAGUUGCAAAAUAUGUUUAUGAUAUGGUUAAUAUGAUAGGUUGUUUGUACAUGUAUCAUAGAAAGAUUAUGUAGCUCGGAAAACAAACUGUAUCACAAAAUAUUUCUAUCUUUAGAAUUGAUAUUGAUAGAGAUUGUCACAACCACUUUCAGUAAUUCACUAAUUUACAUACUAUUAUAGCAAAAAACAUGUAGGACCCCCCUCCCGAAAAAAAAUGAUAUUCUCAACGAAUACUAUUAUUUUUCUACAGGGAGUAUAUAGGAGGCCGGUUACAUUAAUCAAAUCACAAAUUAGCUAUUACUGUACAUGAUAUAUCGUCUUUAAAUUUUGAAUAAAGUUAAUAUAUAUUGCUGAUGACGAUUGUAGGGUCAUUUCAUAUCCUGAUGUUUUGUACAUUGCAUAGCGAUACAUCAGAAGUGCGAAGACAAGGACCGUGAAUGAAUCCCCAAAUCAGUGAACGUCGUUGCAAGUUUUAGGAAAAGUUAAUCUGUAUUUUAUCAAUGCCAUGAAGCACAUAAUUCAGACCCACCGCUGUGGGAAUUAUCUCUCAUGAGAAUAGUGAUAAAAUGCGAUCUGCAAGCUUACAGAAAAGUCAGGCAAACUGUUUUGGAGGAAGUAAACAGUGAAGUGGAACAGCGAUAAAGGUACAUGUAGCUGAAUAAAGUAUGGAUUGGUUUGAAAUGGGGAACACAUGUUUCUUCGGAUAAAAUGAGACCCAACCUUUGUGUAUCAGGACCAGUUAUAAAGACUAUAUGUUGAACACCUACAUGUAUAUCAGACACGGAAUAUUCAUGAGAUACUGACUGGAUGUGUUGGAAGGAUUUAUUGGCAACAACUUUCGUGAAAACAUAUCAGCGCGUCAGGGUGGAUAUUUUUCGAGGAAUUUUAAUAGGAAGACAAUAUAAGUUUAUAUAGGCAUCUAACGUUAGAGAUCUUACUCUAUACGCUAUAUAUUUUCCCAAGUGUCGCAAAAAAGUACGAUUGUGAAAGCUUGGCGUGUAGGUCUUUAAAUCCUCCCAGGAACCAAUGUACCCGAAAUGCCAGAAAUUACAUAAAGGCUUCCUAGUUAAAUUUUGAUUAAUAUUGCGAUCAUCCCUCCGAAUUAUAGUUAAACCGAAUAUGUAGCUUUUUAGCGAUUAAAGAAAAUAAAUAAAUGCUACACUUAUUCAAAUUAUAGUUAAAGCAUUCCAAAACAGUGUUUGAUAAGACGACCAGUGUAGAUAAGUUGACUGUCCGCAUUGUGUGGGACCGCACGAAAGAAUUGCAGCACAGUCAUUUUUUGUUUAUUUUUAAUGUUUCGACUUUGUGAAGAUGUCGUCUUGUGUUGGGGGAAAUUUACCCCCAAAGAAUUGCAACACACACACACACACACACACACACACACACACACACAUUUUUUAGUUUAUUAUAAAGUCUUAAAAGUAAAGAUGUCGUCUUAUAUUGGGGGAAAUUUACCCCCAAAGAUAUUGCAACACAAUCAUUCUUUGGUUUUUUUUAUCGCUUCGACUUUCUAAAGAUGUCGUCUUGUGUUGGAGGAAGUUAACUCCAAAGAAUUGUAACACAGAAACUUUUUUAAGGCUUUGACUUUGUAAAGAUGCGGUCUUGUGUUGGAGGAAAUUUACUCCAAAAAAUUGUAACACAGAAAUUUUUUGUAAGGCUUUGUCUUUGUAAAGAUGCGUCUUGUGUUGGAGGAAAUUUAUUCCAAAGAUUUGUAACACGGACAUUUUUUUUAAGGCUCUGACAUUGCAAAGAUGCGGUCUUGUGUUGGAGGAAGUUUACUCCAAAGAAUUGAAACACUGUCAUUUUUAGGGUUUUAAUUUACGGCUUUGACUUUGUAAAGAUACGGUCUUGUGUUGGAGGAAAUUUACUCCAAAGAAUUGUAACGCAUACAUUUUUUGUAAGGCUUUGUCUCUGUAAAGAUGCGUCUUGUGUUGGAGGAAAUUUACUCCAAGGAAUUAACACAGAAACUUUUUUCAGGUUUUGACUUUGUAAAGCUGCGUCUUGUGUUGGAGGAAAUUUACUCCAAAGAAUUGUAACGCAUACAUUUUUUUGGUAAGGCUUUGUCUUUGUAAAGAUGCGUCUUGUGUUGGAGGAAAUUUAAUCCAAGGAAUUGUAACACAGUCAUUUUUUUGUUUAUCAUUAAGUCUUCAAAUUUGUAAAGUUGAUGUCUUGUGUUGGAGGAAAUUUACCCCCAAUGAAUUCAAACACAGUUAUUUUCUGUUUAUUUUUAAAGCUUUGAGAUCAUAUAGAUGUCGUUUUGUGUUGUGGGAAAUUUACCUCAAAGAAUUGCAACACAGUCAUUUUGUGUAUAUUUAUAUCGCUACGAUCCGAAUUUAUAUAGAUGUCCUCUUGUGUUGGAGGAAAUUUACCCCAAAGAUAUUGCAACACAGUCAAUUUCUGUAUUUCUUUAUCCCGUCGACUUUGUAUUGAUGUCGUCUUGUGCUGGGGAAAAUUUACCCCAAAGAAUUGCAACAGAUAUGCAUACCUGUAUAGAUUUUAAGGUUGAAAAUUUGUAAAGACGAUGUUUCAUCUUGGGAGUAAAUUUACCCGAACAGUGUAACAUAUAAUCCAUUGUCUCAGAUUAAUCGCUUGCAUAAAAUGCAUUGUAUUUGGGGGUAAAUUUACUCUGAAAAAAACCGAUUCGAUUUUUUUCUUGAAAAUAACAAUUUAUUGUAAAUAGAAUUUAAGUAUAUUCUGUAUAAUUUUUUGGAUAUGUCACAGCUUCACUUUCACAAGUAACUGUUUAUGCAUUUGUCUUUUACUUGUUUAUUCUCCUAACACCCCUAGGCCUCUUAAAAAUUCUUAAUUCCAUAUAUACAGAGAAGCUUGGUUAGUUUUUGGGGGUAAAUUUCUAUUCUGAAGAGUUUCUUGAUUUCUUGUUACGUGUUAUGCUGUGUUAUGCGGAAAAUAAAGCUUAAACUGUC